AGUUGCCAACUUCCAAUCUUCUGGAACUACUCCUGCAAUUAGCGACUGGUCAAAUAAGUCUGCCCUGCUUGCUUAUGACUGUGUGAUCAUGAAACUGGGAAACAGGAGCCUGGAGAGUAUGUAACAGUUUAUCGCAAUUCAAAAAAUGAAAUAAAUCAAUCAAUUAAAAAAAAA